GGUUUAUUUAAAGUAGAUUGCAAAUUUAUUUAAGCUUAAAGCAUAAGCCU
rnacentral:tRNA from 1 species